GUGCCUGAGGAGCGGAUGGGAUGCCCACGCCUAUGGGUGUGGCUGUCGUCUCCACACCUGCAUCCCAUUCCAGGCGAUCAUCAGGAGGACUAUUUAACCCCACAUGGCCGGCUUCUCCACACCAGUCCAUUAGUCACCAUUCAGCGGUUAUUGUUCAGCGCGUUUGAGCCUACACCUGCCCGUCCUCCUGCCUGCCUGGAGUUCAGAUUAGCCACCGGUCAUCAUCUCCUCCGCCUUCCUGGAGCCCUCUCCCGCGGACCCUCACCCCUCCCUCCGGUUCCCACGGCCCAGCCCUGAUUCCUCCCACGGUCCCGAUCACGGCGUUCCCGAGUUGUUAUCUCCCGGUCCCUUGGUUCUAAUAUUAACACUGCAUGUUUUCCUUUGAUCAUUCUGGGACACCCUUAGUUUGAGAAAUAAAGUUAUUCUGCGUGCA